AUUGAACGCUAGCGGGAUGCCUUACACAUGCAAGUCGAACGGAGUGGCGAACGGGUGAGUAAUGUAAAGGAAUGUGCCCAGUAGCGGGGGAUAACUACGCCAACGCGUAGCUAAUACUGCAUACUCUUGGAGUGGCCGGUAUCGGGUUAGCUAGUUGGUGGGGUAACGGCUCACCAAGGCGACGAUCCGUAGCUGGUUUGAGAGGACGACCAGCCACACUGGAACUGAGACACGGCCCAGACUCCUACGGGAGGCAGCAGUGGGGAAUAUUGGACAAUGGGCGAAACCCUGAUGCAGCCAUCCCGCGUGUACGAUGAAGGCCUUCGGGUUGUAAAGCACUUUUGGCAGGAAAGCGGUACCUGCAGAAGAAGCACCGGCUAACUACGUGCCAGCAGCCGCGGUAAUAC
rnacentral:rRNA from 1 species